rnacentral:tRNA from 1 species
GGGGUAUUAGUUCAGUUGGCUAGAAUAUCUGCCUUGCACGCAGAAGACAACGGUUCAAUUCCGUUAUGCUCCA